rnacentral:rRNA from 1 species
UACAGAGGUCUCAAGCGUUGUUCGGAUUCAUUGGGCGUAAAGGGUGCGUAGGCGGCGCGGUAAGUCGGGUGUGAAAUCUCGGAGUUUAACUCCGAAACUGCAUUCGAUACUGCCGUGCUUGAGGACUGGAGAGGAGACUGGAAUUUACGGUGUAGCGGUGAAAUGCGUAGAUAUCGUAAGGAAGACCAGUGGCGAAGGCGGGUCUCUGGACAGUUCCUGACGCUGAGGCACGAAGGCCAGGGGAGCAAACGGG